rnacentral:misc_RNA from 1 species
GAUGAAGAACGUAGCGAAAUGCGAUAAGUAAUGUGAAUUGCAGAAUUCAGUGAAUCAUCGAAUCUUUGAACGCACAUUGCGCCCUCUGGUAUUCCGGGGGGCAUGCCUGUUCGAGCGUCAUUAUAACCACUCAAGCUCUCGCUUGGUAUUGGGGUUCGCGGUUCCGCGGCCCCUAAAAUCAGUGGCGGUGCCUGUCGGCUCUACGCGUAGUAAUACUCCUCGCGAUUGAGUCCGGUAGGUCUACUUGCCAGCAACCCCCAAUUUUUACAGGUUGACCUCGGAUCAGGUAGGGAUACCCGCUGAACUUAAGCAUAUCAAUAAGCGGAGG